UACGGAGGGGGGCUAGCGUUGUUCGGAAUUACUGGGCGUAAAGCGCAUGUAGGCGGCUUUGCAAGUUAGAGGUGAAAGCCCGGGGCUCAACUCCGGAAUUGCCUUUAAAACUGCAUCGCUAGAAUUGUGGAGAGGUAAGUGGAAUUCCGAGUGUAGAGGUGAAAUUCGUAGAUAUUCGGAAGAACACCAGUGGCGAAGGCGACUCACUGGACACGUAUUGACGCUGAGGUGCGAAAGCGUGGGGAGCAAACAGG
rnacentral:rRNA from 1 species